rnacentral:rRNA from 1 species
CGUAGGGUGCAAGCGUUAAUCGGAAUUACUGGGCGUAAAGCGUGCGCAGGCGGUUGUGUAAGUCUGUCGUGAAAUCCCCGGGCUCAACCUGGGAAUUGCGAUGGAGACUGCACGGCUAGAGUGUGUCAGAGGGGGGUAGAAUUCCACGUGUAGCAGUGAAAUGCGUAGAUAUGUGGAGGAACACCGAUGGCGAAGGCAGCCCCCUGGGAUAACACUGACGCUCAUGCACGAAAGCGUGGGGAGCAAACAGGAUUAGAUACCCUGGUAGUCCACGCCCUAAACGAUGUCUACUAGUUGUCGGGUCUUAAUUGACUUGGUAACGCAGCUAACGCGUGAAGUAGACCGCCUGGGGAGUACGGUCGCAAGAUUA